UUCUGAAGUGACCAAAGCGGCCUUUCCAGAGGGGAAACACGAGCUUAUGGACAUUGUUAAGAAUUUUGUCGAGGGGAGAACCAACCUCUACUUUGUCGUGGAAGAGUCCUUCAAAAUAGAUUUUAAUCAGGGUUACGCUGCGCUCUCUGAGUGUGACCCAGACAAAACUACAAUGGACAUUUACCUUGGAACGCCAGUUAACUGCGACGCUCAGGUCAUGAGCCAUAUAGUUGCAGAGGCGCUCGUCCAUGAGCAUUUCGAAAAUCGCGGCAUGUCACAUUACCAUGCUUGCGUGGCCGAGCUUAUCCU